rnacentral:rRNA from 1 species
AGCGUACACGGUGGAUGCCCUGGCAGUCAGAGGCGAUGAAGGACGUGCUAAUCUGCGAUAAGCGUCGGUAAGGUGAUAUGAACCGUUAUAACCGGCGAUUUCCGAAUGGGGAAACCCAGUGUGUUUCGACACACUAUCAUUAACUGAAUCCAUAGGUUAAUGAGGCGAACCGGGGGAACUGAAACAUCUAAGUACCCCGAGGAAAAGAAAUCAACCGAGAUUCCCCCAGUAGCGGCGAGCGAACGGGGAGCAGCCCAGAGCCUGAAUCAGUGUGUGUGUUAGUGGAAGCGUCUGGAAAGGCGCGCGAUACAGGGUGACAGCCCCGUACACAAAAAUGCACAUACUGUGAGCUCGAUGAGUAGGGCGGGACACGUGGUAUCCUGUCUGAAUAUGGGGGGACCAUCCUCCAAGGCUAAAUACUCCUGACUGACCGAUAGUGAACCAGUACCGUGAGGGAAAGGCGAAAAGAACCCCGGCGAGGGGAGUGAAAAAGAACCUGAAACCGUGUACGUACAAGCAGUGGGAGCCUCUUUAUGGGGUGACUGCGUACCUUUUGUAUAAUGGGUCAGCGACUUAUAUUCUGUAGCAAGGUUAACCGAAUAGGGGAGCCGAAGGGAAACCGAGUCUUAACUGGGCGUUAAGUUGCAGGGUAUAGACCCGAAACCCGGUGAUCUAGCCAUGGGCAGGUUGAAGGUUGGGUAACACUAACUGGAGGACCGAACCGACUAAUGUUGAAAAAUUAGCGGAUGACUUGUGGCUGGGGGUGAAAGGCCAAUCAAACCGGGAGAUAGCUGGUUCUCCCCGAAAGCUAUUUAGGUAGCGCCUCGUGAAUUCAUCUCCGGGGGUAGAGCACUGUUUCGGCAAGGGGGUCAUCCCGACUUACCAACCCGAUGCAAACUGCGAAUACCGGAGAAUGUUAUCACGGGAGACACACGGCGGGUGCUAACGUCCGUCGUGAAGAGGGAAACAACCCAGACCGCCAGCUAAGGUCCCAAAGUCAUGGUUAAGUGGGAAACGAUGUGGGAAGGCCCAGACAGCCAGGAUGUUGGCUUAGAAGCAGCCAUCAUUUAAAGAAAGCGUAAUAGCUCACUGGUCGAGUCGGCCUGCGCGGAAGAUGUAACGGGGCUAAACCAUGCACCGAAGCUGCGGCAGCGACACUAUGUGUUGUUGGGUAGGGGAGCGUUCUGUAAGCCUGUGAAGGUGUGCUGUGAGGUAUGCUGGAGGUAUCAGAAGUGCGAAUGCUGACAUAAGUAACGAUAAAGCGGGUGAAAAGCCCGCUCGCCGGAAGACCAAGGGUUCCUGUCCAACGUUAAUCGGGGCAGGGUGAGUCGACCCCUAAGGCGAGGCCGAAAGGCGUAGUCGAUGGGAAACAGGUUAAUAUUCCUGUACUUGGUGUUACUGCGAAGGGGGGACGGAGAAGGCUAUGUUGGCCGGGCGACGGUUGUCCCGGUUUAAGCGUGUAGGCUGGUUUUCCAGGCAAAUCCGGAAAAUCAAGGCUGAGGCGUGAUGACGAGGCACUACGGUGCUGAAGUAACAAAUGCCCUGCUUCCAGGAAAAGCCUCUAAGCAUCAGGUAACAUCAAAUCGUACCCCAAACCGACACAGGUGGUCAGGUAGAGAAUACCAAGGCGCUUGAGAGAACUCGGGUGAAGGAACUAGGCAAAAUGGUGCCGUAACUUCGGGAGAAGGCACGCUGAUAUGUAGGUGAAGUCCCUUGCGGAUGGAGCUGAAAUCAGUCGAAGAUACCAGCUGGCUGCAACUGUUUAUUAAAAACACAGCACUGUGCAAACACGAAAGUGGACGUAUACGGUGUGACGCCUGCCCGGUGCCGGAAGGUUAAUUGAUGGGGUUAGCGGUAACGCGAAGCUCUUGAUCGAAGCCCCGGUAAACGGCGGCCGUAACUAUAACGGUCCUAAGGUAGCGAAAUUCCUUGUCGGGUAAGUUCCGACCUGCACGAAUGGCGUAAUGAUGGCCAGGCUGUCUCCACCCGAGACUCAGUGAAAUUGAACUCGCUGUGAAGAUGCAGUGUACCCGCGGCAAGACGGAAAGACCCCGUGAACCUUUACUAUAGCUUGACACUGAACAUUGAGCCUUGAUGUGUAGGAUAGGUGGGAGGCUUUGAAGUGUGGACGCCAGUCUGCAUGGAGCCGACCUUGAAAUACCACCCUUUAAUGUUUGAUGUUCUAACGUUGGCCCCUGAUCGGGGUUGCGGACAGUGUCUGGUGGGUAGUUUGACUGGGGCGGUCUCCUCCUAAAGAGUAACGGAGGAGCACGAAGGUUGGCUAAUCCUGGUCGGACAUCAGGAGGUUAGUGCAAUGGCAUAAGCCAGCUUGACUGCGAGCGUGACGGCGCGAGCAGGUGCGAAAGCAGGUCAUAGUGAUCCGGUGGUUCUGAAUGGAAGGGCCAUCGCUCAACGGAUAAAAGGUACUCCGGGGAUAACAGGCUGAUACCGCCCAAGAGUUCAUAUCGACGGCGGUGUUUGGCACCUCGAUGUCGGCUCAUCACAUCCUGGGGCUGAAGUAGGUCCCAAGGGUAUGGCUGUUCGCCAUUUAAAGUGGUACGCGAGCUGGGUUUAGAACGUCGUGAGACAGUUCGGUCCCUAUCUGCCGUGGGCGCUGGAGAACUGAGGGGGGCUGCUCCUAGUACGAGAGGACCGGAGUGGACGCAUCACUGGUGUUCGGGUUGUCAUGCCAAUGGCACUGCCCGGUAGCUAAAUGCGGAAGAGAUAAGUGCUGAAAGCAUCUAAGCACGAAACUUGCCCCGAGAUGAGUUCU